rnacentral:rRNA from 1 species
UACAGAGGUCCCAAGCGUUGUUCGGAUUCACUGGGCGUAAAGGGUGCGUAGGUGGUGAGGUAAGUCGGAUGUGAAAGCUCGGAGCUCAACUCCGAAAUGGCAUUGGAAACUACCUUGCUCGAGGGUUGGAGGGGGGACUGGAAUUCAUGGUGUAGCAGUGAAAUGCGUAGAGAUCAUGAGGAAGACCAGUGGCGAAGGCGGGUCUCUGGACAGUUCCUGACACUGAGACACGAAGGCCAGGGGAGCAAACGGG